rnacentral:rRNA from 1 species
GACGAACGCUGGCGGCGUGCUUAACACAUGCAAGUCGAACGAUGAACCCGGAGCUUGCUCCGGCGGAUUAGUGGCGAACGGGUGAGUAACACGUGAGUAACCUGCCCUUGACUCUGGGAUAACUGCUAGAAAUGGUAGCUAAUACCGGAUACGACCCUCGGUGGCAUCACCAGGGGGUGGAAAGAAUUUCGGUCAAGGAUGGACUCGCGGCCUAUCAGCUAGUUGGUGAGGUAAUGGCUCACCAAGGCGACGAUCGAUAGGUGGUCUGAGAGGACGAUCACCCAGACUGGGACUGAGACACGGCCCAGACUCCUACGGGAGGCAGCAGUCGGGAAUUUUGCGCAAUGGGGGAAACCCUGACGCAGCAAUACCGCGUGUGGGAUGAAGGCCUUCGGGUCGUAAACCACUUUUUUCGGGGACGAUAAUGACGGUGCCCGAAGAAUAAGCCACGGCUAACUACGUGCCAGCCGCCGCGGUAA